UACGUAGGGGGCUAGCGUUGUCCGGAAUCAUUGGGCGUAAAGCGCACGCAGGCGGCGCGGCAAGUGGUCGGUGAAAUCCUCCGGCUCAACUGGAGGGGGUCCGGCCGGACUGCCGUGCUCGAGGUCGCGAGGGGGAAGCGGAAUUCCCGGUGUAGUGGUGGAAUGCGUAGAUAUCGGGAGGAACACCAGUGGCGAAGGCGGCUUCCUGGCGCGAUUCUGACGCUGAGGUGCGAAAGCGUGGGGAGCGAGCCGG
rnacentral:rRNA from 1 species